GUGUUGAAAUUGUCUUGUAGGUGGGUAAAUUUCAAAUUCCAAUUCCGUUGUUUGGGGGGCAAAUUCGUAUUUUAAUUGUGUUGUUGGUGGGUCUUUUCUUCGUAAGAGCCCAAAAAUGAGGUAUAAAUUUGUUUUAAAAUGACAUUUUAUGCGUACUUUGCGCGAUCGAAAACGGCAUUUUGGUACGAAAUAAACGAGUCCGAAUGCUAUUCUCACGACGCGGCUAUUCUUACGGUAACACCAUGGAGGCUAUGAGUGUUUCAGACGUGCGCCAGUUUUUGAUGGAGCGUAACCUAAGCUCGCUAACCACGACCUUUGAAGCUCUGACACUUACAUGUAGAAGAAAAUUAGUCUGACAGAAAAUCUGAUUGAUGGCGAAGCAUUGCUUUCUGUGAUGGAAGAUCACAUUUUGUUGAAGGAAUUAAUACCUGAAGUGGGGUUGAGAGCAAAACUGAGGCGUAAAAUAAAAAAGAAGACUUGAGAGUUUUACUGAAUGACAUGAACAAAUACUAAUUUCAAUUGUGUUGUAGGGUGGUGUUGAGUUUAAUCUAAAUGUGGUGCUGGUGGGUCUAUUACCUAUUUUAAUUCUGUUGGUGGGGGGUGUAAAAGCAGUUAAAAUUGUGUUGGUGGUGCCCCAUUUUUGGACUGUCGUUCUUGCCCCCCCAGGCCUUUUUUCCUGGAACAGCCCUAAAGCAAAUUGGC